rnacentral:rRNA from 1 species
AAACGUUUCGAAAGGAACGCUAAUACCGCAUACGUCCUACGGGAGAAAGCAGGGACUUCGGGCCUUGUCGCUAUCAGAUGAGCCUAGGUCGGAUUAGCUAGUUGGUGAGGUAAUGGCUCACCAAGGCGACGAUCCGUAACUGGUCUGAGAGGAUGGAUCAGUCACACUGGAACUGAGACACGGUCCAGACUCCUACGGGAGGCAGCAGCG